GUUCACUGAAAACUUGCUAAAUAGGGAAGUUCCAUGAUUCAUUUUUUACCUUUCUAGAACAUCAGUGAUUUUUGUAUAUCAAAGUAAGAUGGUGGAGUUUUGGCUGUUUAACAACUGUUUUGUUUGUGUUAAUACUUGACUUUGUUUACUAAAACACUGUUAGACAAUGGCACCUCCAGAUUGCAAACUUUAGCUUGGGUGUGUCAAAUUCAGUUCUCAAGUGCCAAAAAUAUGUUCACACUAUAUGAAUAUAAUCCCUAGAAACUAACGUAAACGAAAU